AUGAGUGUUUUCAGACUGCCGGCUUUGACUUGUGAUGAACUAACUCAAAUGAUAAGGAGCUAUUUGUGGGGAUCAGAGAAAGGACGUAGGACGCACUGGAUUGCAUGGGAAAAAUUAUUACGCCCAAAGAAUCAAGGCGGCCUAGGGUUCCGCGACAUGAGACUUUUUCAAGCUCUAUUAGCUCGUCAAGCAUGGCGACUAAUUGAUAGACCGGAGAGUCUAUGUGCAAGGCUAUUGAAAGCAAGGUACUACCGAUAUGGCAACCUCAUUGACACUGUAUUCACGGGAAAUGCGUCUCCAGUCUGGAGAGGCAUUGAACACGGAUUGGAGCUGUUAAAAAAAGGAAUAAUAUGGAGGGUGGGCAAUGGUAAGAAAGUCAGGGUAUGGAGGGAUCCUUGGAUACACCGUGGGGGCACUCGAAAGCUAUUGGGAGAGCGGGGAACCUGCAGGUACAAUCGUGUUGACGAUUUCCUCUUACCAGAUGGGUCGUGGAAUGAGGCUCGCCUUAAUGAAUUUAUGAUACGAGCAGAUGUGCAGGAGAUUUUGAAAAUUAAGGUAUCUCGUAGAAUGUGUGAGGAUGUUCUCGCGUGGCAUAUGGAGAAGGACGGGCGGUUCUCGGUUAGAAGUGCAUACCACCUUGCGGUCACAGAGGUUAUACAGAAUCAAGGGGGUGUCUCGUCUAGUACGAGACCAGAGGGAGACCGACCAGUAUGGAGGAUGUUUUGGAAAAUCCAGGUACCACAGAACGUGAAGAUUUGUGCAUGGAAAUUAUUGAAGGAUGGGUUACCCACAUGA
rnacentral:rRNA from 1 species